GAUGAACGCUGGCCGCGUGCCUAAUACAUGCAAGUCGAGCGAAGCGGGGAUGGGUGAGUAACACGUGGAAAUCCUCCUAUAAGACUGGGAUAACUUCGGGAAACCGGAGCUAAACCGGCUAUUUAUAGAUCGAUUCGCGCUGCAUUAGCUUGUGGGUAAGGUAACGGCUUACCAAGGCAACGAUGCAUAGCCGAUCUGAGAUGGUGAUCGGCCACACUGGAACAUAGACGCGGUCCAGACUCCUACGCGGGGCGGCAGUAGAGAGUCUUCCGCAAUGGGCGAAAGCCUGACGGUGCAACGCCGCGUGAGUGAUGAAGGUCUUCGGUUCGUAAAACACUGUUAUUAGAGAGACUUUAUCUAAUCAGAAAACCACGGCUAACUACGAGCCAGCAGCCGCGGUAAUUC
rnacentral:rRNA from 1 species